GACGUAGGGAGCAAGCGUUGUCCGGAUUUACUGGGCGUAAAGGGCGCGUAGGCGGUCUGUUAAGUGAGAACUGAAAUCUCCAGAGCUCAACUCGGAAACUGGUUUUCAUACUGGCAGGCUAGAGGAACGCAGAGGUGACUGGAAUUCCUGGUGUAGCGGUGAAAUGCGUUGAUAUCAGGAGGAACUCCGAUGGCGAAGGCAGGUCACUGGGCGUUAUCUGACGCUGAGGCGCGAAAGCGUGGGUAGCAAACAGG
rnacentral:rRNA from 1 species